GGUGAGUAACACGUGGAUAACCUACCUAUAAGACUGGGAUAACUUCGGGAAACCGGAGCUAAUACCGGAUAAUAUUUUGAACCGCAUGGUUCAAAAGUGAAAGACGGUCUUGCUGUCACUUAUAGAUGGAUCCGCGCUGCAUUAGCUAGUUGGUAAGGUAACGGCUUACCAAGGCAACGAUGCAUAGCCGACCUGAGAGGGUGAUCGGCCACACUGGAACUGAGACACUGUCCAG
rnacentral:rRNA from 1 species